rnacentral:rRNA from 1 species
GUGCGUAAACGGAGCGAGUCGUGUCACAUGCGGACAGAUGCGCAGCGAGAGGCGGCGGUAACUUACUACCGCGUGAACUAGCAUAUCAUUAAGCGGAGGAAAGAACUAAAGAUUCCCCUAGUAACGGCGAGUGAAGAGGGAAAAGCUCAAAUUUAAAAUCUGGCGGUCUACGGCCGUCCGAGUUGUAAUCUAGAGAAGUGUUUUCCGCGCUGGACCGUGUACAAGUCCUUUGGAACAAGGCGUCAUAGAGGGUGAGAAUCCCGUCUACGACACGGACUGCCAAGCGCUUUGCGAUACACUCUCAACGAGUCGAGUUGUUUGGGAAUGCAGCUCAAAAUGGGUGGUAAAUUCCAUCUAAAGCUAAAUAUGGGCGAAAGACCGAUAGCGAACAAGUACCGUGAGGGAAAGAUGAAAAGCACUUUGGAAAGAGAGUUAAACAGUACGUGAAAUUGUUGAAAGGGAAACGCUUGAAGUCAGUCGCGUCUUCAGAAAUUCAGCCGGGCUUCUGCCUUGCGUACUUUUCUGUGGGACGGGCCAGCAUCAGUUUCGGCUGCCAGAAAAAGGUGGGAGGAAGGUGGCACCUCCGGGUGUGUUAUAGCCUCCCGUCGUAUGUGGCAGGCGGGACUGAGGACCGCAGCACGCCUUUAAUGGCCGGGGUUCGCCCACGUAACGUGCUUAGGAUGCUGGCGUAAUGGCUUUAAACGACCCGUCUUGAAACACGGACCAAGGAGUCUAACAUGCCUGCGAGUAUUUGGGUGGCAAACCCAUAUGCGAAAUGAAAGUGAACCGUUGGGACUUCUGUCAUGGAAGGCACCGACGCCCAGACCAGACCUAUUGUGACGGAUCUGAGGUAGAGCAUGUAUGUUGGGACCCGAAAGAUGGUGAACUAUGCCUGAGUAGGGUGAAGCCAGAGGAAACUCUGGUGGAGGCUCGUAGCGAUUCUGACGUGCAAAUCGAUCGUCCGAACUUGGGUAUAGGGGCGAAAGACUAUCGAUCAUCUAGUAGCUGGUUCUGCCGAGUCCCUUCAAG